AGAGUUUGAUCAUGGCUCAGGAUGAACGCUGGCGGCGUGCUUAACACAUGCAAGUCGAACGAACCUUCGGGUUAGUGGCGGACGGGUGAGUAACGCGUGAGAAUCUGCCCUCAGGAGGGGGAUAACGGCUGGAAACGGCCGCUAAUACCCCAUAUGCCGAGAGGUGAAAUGAAUUUCGCCUGAGGAUGAGCUCGCGUCUGAUUAGCUAGUUGGUGGGGUAAGAGCCUACCAAGGCAUCGAUCAGUAGCUGGUCUGAGAGGAUGAUCAGCCACACUGGGACUGAGACACGGCCCAGACUCCUACGGGAGGCAGCAGUGGGGAAUUUUCCGCAAUGGGCGAAAGCCUGACGGAGCAACGCCGCGUGAGGGAUGAAGGCCUCUGGGCUGUAAACCUCUUUUAUCAAGGAAGAAGAUCUGACGGUACUUGAUGAAUAAGCCACGGCUAAUUCCGUGCCAGCAGCCGCGGUAAUACGGGAGUGGCAAGCGUUAUCCGGAAUUAUUGGGCGUAAAGCGUCCGCAGGCGGCCUGAUAAGUCUGUUGUCAAAGCGUGGAGCUUAACUCCAUUUCGGCAAUGGAAACUGUGAGGCUUGAGUGUGGUAGGGGCAGAGGGAAUUCCCGGUGUAGCGGUGAAAUGCGUAGAUAUCGGGAAGAACACCAGUGGCGAAGGCGCUCUGCUGGGCCAUAACUGACGCUCAUGGACGAAAGCCAGGGGAGCGAAAGGGAUUAGAUACCCCUGUAGUCCUGGCCGUAAACGAUGAACACUAGGUGUCGGGGGAAUCGACCCCCUCGGUGUCGUAGCCAACGCGUUAAGUGUUCCGCCUGGGGAGUACGCACGCAAGUGUGAAACUCAAAGGAAUUGACGGGGGCCCGCACAAGCGGUGGAGUAUGUGGUUUAAUUCGAUGCAACGCGAAGAACCUUACCAGGGUUUGACAUCCUGCGAAUUCCUUGGAAACUUGGGAGUGCCUUCGGGAGCGCAGAGACAGGUGGUGCAUGGCUGUCGUCAGCUCGUGUCGUGAGAUGUUGGGUUAAGUCCCGCAACGAGCGCAACCCACGUCUUUAGUUGCCAGCAUUGAGUUGGGCACUCUAGAGAGACCGCCGGUGAUAAACCGGAGGAAGGUGUGGAUGACGUCAAGUCAUCAUGCCCCUUACAUCCUGGGCUACACACGUACUACAAUGCUACGGACAAAGGGCGGCAAACUCGCGAGAGCUAGCAAAUCCCAUAAACCGUGGCUCAGUUCAGAUCGUAGGCUGCAACUCGCCUACGUGAAGGAGGAAUCGCUAGUAAUCGCAGGUCAGCAUACUGCGGUGAAUACGUUCCCGGGCCUUGUACACACCGCCCGUCACACCAUGGAAGUUGGCCACGCCCGAAGCCGUUACUCCAACCCUUGUGGAGGAGGACGUCGAAGGUGGGGCUGAUGACUGGGGUGAAGUCGUAACAAGGUAACC
rnacentral:rRNA from 1 species